GAACUAAAGAUGUAGUCUUAUCCUGUCCUAUAGGAACUAAAGAUGUAGUCUUAUCCUGUCCUAUAGGAACUAAAGAUGUAGUCUUAUCCUUUCUUAUAGGUACUGAGGAUGUAGUCUUAUCCUGUCCUAUAGGAACUAAAGAUGUAGUCUUAUCCUGUCCUAUAGGAACUAAAGAUGUAGUCUUAUCCUGUCCUAUAGGAACUAAAGAUGUAGUCUUAUCCUUUCCUAUAGGAACUAAAGAUGUAGUCUUAUCCUGUCCUAUAGGUACUAAGGAUGUAGUCCUAUCCUGUCCUAUAGGAAAUAAAGAUGUAGUCUUAUCCUGUCCUAUAGGAACUAAAGAUGUAGUCUUAUCCUGUCCUAUAGGAACUAAAGAUGUAGUCUUAUCCUGUCCUAUAGGAACUAAAGAUGUAGUCUUAUCCUGUCCUAUAGGAACUAAAGAUGUAGUAUUAUCCUGUCCUAUAGGAACUGAGGAUGUAGUCUUAUCCUGUCCUAUAGGAACUAAAGAUGUAGUCUUAUCCUGUCCUAUAGGUACUGAGGAUGUAGUCUUAUCCUGUCCUAUAGGAACUAAAGAUGUAGUCUUAUCCUGUCCUAUAGUUACUAAAGAUGUAGUCUUAUCCUGUCCUAUAGGAACUAAAGAUGUAGUCUUAUCCUGUCCUAUAGGAACUAAAGACGUAGUCUUAUCCUGUCCUAUAGUUACUAAAGAUGUAGUCUUAUCCUGUCCUAUAGGAACUAAAGAUGUAGUCUUAUCCUGUCCUAUAGGUACUGAGGAUGUAGUCUUAUCCUGUCCUGUAGGUACUAAAGAUGCAGUCUUAUUCUGUCCUAUAGGUACUGAGGAUGUGGUCCUAAACCUCUGUCCUGCAACAGGCCCAGUAAUACUUAACAGAGGUCUUGGUACAUGACCUAGGUGAUCACAGGUCCAAGACCAUUACUCAACACUGUUGUACCCCGUGACAGAAGGACAGAGCAGUGUUGACUCAGUUUAACCUGUGUAAGAGAAACAUCUGUGAAACAGUGUCCUGUUCAGAGCUGUAGAUGGCAUGUUUAGCCCUGUUAAUGAGCAGGUCAUUCAUUUCACAUUUAUAAAAGAGGAGAGGAGAUGGAUGGAGCAAUUUACAGGUCUAUUAGUUGUGGAGGGCUGGAGGGAUGGAGGGAUGGAGGGAUGGGGGAAUGGAGGGAUGGAGGGAUGGAGGGCUGGAGGGAUGGAGGGCUGGAAGCCUGGAGGGAUGAAGGGAUGGGGGAAUGGAGGGAUGGAGGGAUGGAGGGC
rnacentral:lncRNA from 1 species